rnacentral:Y_RNA from 1 species
GGCCAGUCUGAAGCUAGUGAGUUAUCUCAAUUGAUUGUCUAUAGUCAAGUUACAAAUCAAACUCCUUGUUCUACUCUUUCCCCAUCUCACUACUGCAUUUGACUUAAA